AUUCACUCCUGCUUCCAGGAGAGCAUGAUCAAGGAGUGUGGCUGUGCCUACAUCUUCUAUCCGCGGCCCCAGAACGUGGAGUACUGUGACUACAGAAAGCACAGUUCGUGGGGCCAGGCACGGCGGCUCAUGCCUGUAAUUCCAGCACUUUGGGAGGCCGAGGUGGGCGGAUCACGAGGUCAGGAGAUCGAGACCAUCCCGGCUAACACAGAGAAACCCCGUCUCUACUAAAGAUACAAAAAAUUAGCCGGGCGUGGUGUCGGAAGCCUGUAGUCCCCGCUACCCGGGAGGCUGAGGCAGGAGAAUGGCUAUUGCUACUAUAAGCUCCAGGUUGACUUCUCCUCAGACCACCUGGGCUGUUUCACCAAGUGCCGGAAGCCAUGCAGCGUGACCAGCUACCAGCUCUCUGCUGGUUACUCACGAUGGCCCUCGGUGACAUCCCAGGAAUGGGUCUUCCAGAUGCUAUCGCGGCAGAACAAUUACACCGUCAACAACAAGAG
rnacentral:sRNA from 1 species